rnacentral:rRNA from 1 species
GAACGAACGCUGGCGGCAGGCCUAACACAUGCAAGUCGAACGGGAUCUUCGGAUCUAGUGGCGGACGGGUGAGUAACGCGUGGGAACGUGCCCUUUGGUUCGGAAUAGCCCUGGGAAACUGGGAGUAAUACCGGAUACGGUCGAGAGACGAAAGAUUUAUCGCCGAAGGAUCGGCCCGCGUUGGAUUAGGUAGUUGGUGGGGUAAUGGCCUACCAAGCCGACGAUCCAUAGCUGGUUUGAGAGGAUGAUCAGCCACACUGGAACUGAAACACGGUCCAUACACCUACGGGUGGCAGCAGUAGGGAAUAUUAGAAAUGGACGAAAGUCUGAUCUAGCAACACCGCGUGUGCGAAGAAGGCCUUCGGGUCGUAAAGCACUUUUUGGAAGGAAUAGGAAGGAAUGUACUUCCAGAAUAAGUCUCGGCUAACUACGUGCCAGCAGCCGCGGUAACACGUAGGAGGCAAACGUUAUCCGGAUUUACUGGGCGUAAAGCGCGUGUAGGUGGUUCUGUAAGUAGGGCGUGAAAGCUCCCGGCUCAACUGGGAGAGGCCGUUCUAAACUACAGAACUAGAGGAUGGUAGAGGGAGGUGGAAUUCCAGGUGUAGCGGUGGAAUGCGCAGAUAUCUGGAGGAACACCAGUGGCGAAGGCGGCCUCCUGGACCAUUCCUGACACUCAGACGCGAAAGCUAGGGUAGCAAACGGGAUUAGAGACCCCGGUAGUCCUAGCCCUAAACGAUGUAGACUAGGCGUCGGUGGUUUAAUCACCAUCGGUGUCCAAGCUAACGCGAUAAGUCUACCGCCUGGGGACUACGGCCGCAAGGUUAAAACUCAAAGGAAUUGACGGGUCCCCGCACAAGCAGCGGAGCGUGUGGUUUAAUUCGUUGCUACACGAAGAACCUUACCUGGGUUUGACAUAGCAGUGGUAGGGAAGCGAAAGCGGACCGACCCUUCGGGGAGCUGUUACAGGUGUUGCAUGGCUGUCGUCAGCUCGUGUCGUGAGAUGUUCGGUUAAGUCCGCUAACGAGCGCAACCCGCGUUGUGUGUUACAAGUGUCACACAAUACCGCCGGUAUUAAGUCGGAGGAAGGUGCGGAUGACGUCAAGUCAGCAUGACCUUUAUAUCCAGGGCUACACACACGCUACAAUGGUCAGCACAAUAGGUUGCCAAGUCGUGAGACGGAGCCAAUCCUCCAAAGCUGGCCUCAGUUCAGAUUGUAGGCUGCAACCCGCCUGCAUGAAGUUGGAGUUGCUAGUAACCGCAGGUCAGCUAUACUGCGGUGAAUACGUUCCCGGGGAU